AUUAUCUCCAAAAGAUUCUAUACAAUAGCCUCUAACCCCCCACUCUGAAAUUUUGCAUCCAUCCUACCCUAGGCAACCACUAAUCUAAUUUCUAUCUCUAUAGAUUAGCAUUUUCUGGACCCUUUAAAAAAUAAAUGAGGGUUUUCCAGUGAUCAUGGCAGAUGGGAUGCAGGACUAGAUUGCAGCUCCAGACAGAGCAGCAUGCAGAGGCUUGCAUUGUGAAUUUUAGCUGCAGAUCAACUGCAAGAACAGACCAGCAAUUCUGAGAGGAUCCACACACCCUCUGCAGGAAGAGUACUGCUCCUGCAGGACCUGGGAGACAUCCCAAACACUGUGAGUGCCCCAACAAUGGAAGUGGGAAAGGGUGAUCCCCCUCUCCAGAAUACACAUCCCCACUGGAGAAGCUGAAGUUCUGUUUGCAGGAGAAGUUCCUGACUUUAUGUGAAGCUGAGUCAAAUUAGAGAACCAAGCCAAGCAAAAUACAGGGGUAGAGGAAGUAGCAGAAAGGCACUGGGAGCUCUCUGGAUACCCAAGCGGCUCAUUCCUGCCUGGCAUCACAGGGAUCUAUCAGGAGGGUGGCCAGUGAUGCAGGGGGUUCAAAGAUUCUCCUCAGGACCUGAAGGCUUGAAGGGAUGAGUAACUCCUCCCUUCUCAGGCCCAGCCCCAAGAUGCAAGACCACUUGCAUCAGCAGCGUGUGUCAGCAAGAUAGCAGAAGCAGGAAGAGAGCCGGCCAGAAGACACUUACCCUGGCUGGAAGAGAUGUACCCCUGAAGAUCAAGAAAUAGGCCAUCCAGGUACUACAUAGCAGUCACAACAGACUGGGACACUUACUGUUUACAGAGGACUACAAAACCCCUGUCCCAUCCUCACUUGGGGCUGAUGCCAUUUUAGGCCUCAGCCCACCUGCAACCAGGCGUUCAUUAAAACAGCAUGUUGCUCCACACCGCCUCCUGUUGUCUGUUGGCGCGCUGUUGGGGUUCAAACUGAUUCAAGAACCUUACAUCUGGUGCCAAAUCCUAGGAGGGGCUCAGGUCUGUGUCGCUUGUGGACCUAUCCCUCCACCCCAGAGAGCAGGCCACAGCAAUUAGACAGAGGAAGCUCCUCAGCCUCCAGUCGCCUCUCUGUGCAUGCGCAUCAGCCACUGAUCUCGCCUACUGGGAGAAGUGUUCCCAACAACUUCAAAAGGUGCAAAUAUCAUCACACAAACUCAUCAUGCAUACAGUUCCCUGUUUCAGACUCCCAACAUCCAUCCAGUCCGAUAACAGUCCUGCCUUCAUCAGCCACAUUACCCGAGGCAUCUCUACAUCCUUAAGAAUAAGAAGUCAGGGACCCUGAAUGGAGGGACUGGCUGGAGCUGAGGCAGAACAUCAUAAAUUGUGAAGAUUUCAUGGACAUUUAUCUGUUCCAAAAAUUAAUACUUUUAUAAUUUCUUAUGCCUGUCUUUACUGCAAUCUCUGAACAUAAAUUGUGAAGAUUUCAUGGACAUUUAUCACUUCCCUAAUAAUACUAUUAUAAUUUCUUACGCUUGUCUUUACUUUAAUCUCUUAGUCCUGUUGUCUUCAUAAGUUGAGAAUGUAUGUCACCUCAGGACCACUAUUGUACAAAUUGGUUGUAGAACAUGUGUGUUUGAACAAUAUGACAUCUGUUUGUAAAACAUAUAUGUUUGAACAAUAUGAAAUCAGUGUACCCUGAAAAACAACAGAAUAACAGCAAUUUUCAGGGAACAAGGGAAGAUAACCAUAAGGUCUGACUGCCUGAGGGGUUGGGCAGAAUAAGCCAUAUGUUUCUUCUUGCAGAAAGCCUAUAAAUGGAUGUGCAAGGAGGAGAAAUACCGCUGAAUUCUUUUCCCAGCAAGGAGUAACCCUGGGGAAGGAAUGCAUUCCUGGGGAGAGGUCUAUGAAUGGCCACUCUGGGAGUGUCUGUCUUAUGCGGUUGAGAAAAGGACUGAAAUAUGCCCUGGUCUCCUGCAGUACCCUCAGGCUUACUAGGAUUGGGAAAUUCCAGCCUGGUAAAUUCUAGCUAGACUAGUUCUCUGCUCUCAAACCCUGUUUCCUGUUAAGAUGUUUAUAAAAACAAUAUGGGAACAGCAGGACAUAGAGCCUCAUCAGUAAUUCUAAUUCUGCCUUUGCCUUGUGAUCUAUAUGGCCCUUUGAAGCAUGUGAUCCUUGUGACCUACUCCCUGUUUAUACACCCCCUCCUCUUUUAAAAUCCCUAAUAAAAACUUGCUGGUUUUGCAGCUCAGGGUCGUCUGCACAGUCCUACCAAUAUGCGAUGUCAACCCUGGAGGCCCAGCUGUAAAAUUUCUCUCUUUUUACUCUUACUCUUUAUUUCUCAGACCAGUCACCAAUUAGGGAAAAUAGAAAAGACCUACAUUGAAAUAUUGGGGGCUUGUUCCCCCGAUAUCAUUUCUAUUUCUAGUUUGUUUAGAGCUCUCUUUUAAAAACUCAUAAACAAUUGAUUUUUUUCAAAUGCUUUGUUUUGCAUUUACUGAUAUAUCAAGUGAUUUUUAUGCAUCAUUGGGUUAAGGUGAUAUGUCACAUUUGCUCAUUUUUGUGUGUUCUAUUAUCCUUAAAUCUAGGGAUAAAUUUGUCAUUUCUUUUAGGAAAGAAGCAAUGCUGAGUCUUGAACAUAGUAAAAGCCAAGCAACACUACUGGUCUUGUAAUAUCAAAAGGAAGAGUGAGACUUUCUUCACAAUUUAAUUAUUGAGUAGUUUCUUUGCAACAGUAAAAACAACAAAAUUCUGCUGAAAAUGAAACCAAAGAAUUCUGAGUAUUUGAAAAAUGGUAUUAAUAUUGUGAACG
rnacentral:lncRNA from 10 species